rnacentral:piRNA from 1 species
UGAGAUUUGGCUCUACAUAUCAUGGCUCCU